AGCAUUGUCAAGACCGCGCCUGCCUGGAAGCUUUCUGUCGCCCCUGCGCUGGUGCCAGUCGGUACGUACUUUCGGACAGGAGGAAGUCCUUCGAGAAUGCUGCGAACGAGAGUCGUUAAAAGAAUAUAGAGAGACCUGUCUUCUGAAUAACAAGAACGCCGAAAAUGACGACAAGCUGUAUGACGUGGUUGGCGAGACUGAUACUGGUAGUGGCAGCAGCAGUUGUAGUUGGAUCAAGUAACACUACAAACAUUGUGUCUCCAAGCAAUGUGAAUGCUAUUAUUGGAGCUUUUCUCAACAUACACAAGCAAGGCAAUGGGUUGUAUGACUGUGGGCAGACAAGUGUGAAUGGAGUAAUAAUGUCUGAAGCUAUGUCAUG